UGCUCAUGCUAUCAGUAAAAAUCUAGUUAUCACAAACCAUCCAACCUUCACAAGAGGAACAUCUAUUUUCCUGUGAACUUGAAAAUGUCAGUCAGGUGCCAUUUUAUAUUCAGGCAUCUGAGGAGUUUUAUUUUGUGGCAUUGUGACCUGGUCUUUUCCCUUUCUAUGACAAAAAUCCAUUGCCUAUCUGCUUGAAAUAUACUGAAGAUUUCUCAACAUCAGCCAUACGAUGCAAAGGAUUUCUGUAUCUGGAUGACAGAUCAGAGUCUUCAAAACACCAAAUUGCAGCCGCACUCUAAUCAGCAAUAUCCUCAAGGAGACGAGUAUCCAGGCAACCCUGCGGAGAAGCAGCAGCAAAGGAAAUUGCUUGGCGCAGUAGUGAGCUAGAGGAGACCUUU